GAUGAGGGGUUAAAAACAGGACAGAAAAUAGACUAUUACUUCUAAAUUAUGAUGUUUUUUUAAUGUAAAAAUCUUUACAUUCAGAGAACAGUACAAAAAAACAAAACAAAAACACAGGCAGUUUAUGACCCCUUUAAGAGCUGGGGUUCUCUGUUUCUCACCUUGCCUGUAACAGAGCACACACACGCAGAGAAUACUGCAAAACCCACACAUGACACAAGCACAGACCAAGAGCGUCCUGCAGCCCACACUAUCUGACGAACGCUGCUGUUCAGCAUCUGAAACACAAAACCAAACCAGUGGAAAGAGCAGCAGUUUCACUGGAACAGAUGAGAGUCACAGAAAACAGAGGUUACAGUCAAACCAUAUCCUUCAGAAACUAAUCCUUCUCAAUAAAUAGGUCUUCUGUGGUUUUUCAGUGUUAGAAAUACAGUGAAGAAAGGUUUAGUGCACUAAUAAUCUUAAUGACUUGUCAACAAAUAAAGCAUUCACAAUUCAGCACUAUAUUCUGACAGCUGCUGCACCUUGAUGAAUUGGUAUUGUACUUUUUAUUUUUUAUUAAUAUGAAGUAGAAUUGCUAAGUAUAAUUAGGAAAUGUAUUUCCCAUUUAGCUGGAAGUCUUAAUACGAUGGCACUAUUCCAACAGACUGCUUUGAUGUUAUGCACUAUAUCUGAACCAUGCUGAUGAAGGAAGAGGUCUGUUCUGGAGAAGUGAUCCACUAAAACACAGAGCACCUUUACAGCUCCCUGCUCUGACAUCACAGCUCUCUGUGCUUCUGCCGUUUUGAAGUAUAACAUCAUUAAUAUAAUAUAAAAUCAUGAUGUUUAGGCCGAUCUGAAGGGCACUAACCUGCAAACGUGAGUCGGACAGCAGUCCCAAAGCGCAUCGUCUUUGCACUGACACCAAGAGCGCAGUAGUACAGCCCCAGAUCCGACUCUCUGACCCCAGCGAUCACCAGGCUGACCGAGUCAAGCCUCCUGUCUGCUUCCAGCCCAAAGUGACUUCCAUUCUCAUUAUAGUUUCUCUUCUUCUUCUUUUCUAUGGAUGUCAUCAAGAGUAGAUCUUAGUGUCUGAUUUGUGGAGAGAAGCAUUUUCAUGACAACAGAAACACCAUAUUAUAGUUUUUCCUUAAACAAAUUUAUAGAAAAUAUAAUUGCUCUCAAAAACAAUUAACACAGCCAAGUAGUAGACACACAUCUCAAAUUUACUGCAUAUUAAACCCAGAUUGAAAAUACACAUUAAAAACAACACACUAUUGAAAAAACAUACUUAUCAUAAAGUAAUUCAAUGAGGACCUCUACAGCCCUGAAAGACAGCGGAGACCAGGACUAGAGCCCCAGAGACAGAUCCCCUGUAAAGUCCUUGUCUCAGACGACCACCGGGACAAGACCACAGGAAACAGAUGAUUCUUCUGCACAAUCUGACUUUGCUGCAGCCUGGAAUUGAACUGCUGGUUUCGUCUGGUCAGAGGAGAACUGGCCCCCCGACUGAGCC
ensembl:lncRNA